AUAUGUAAAGGUCGGAUCUUUACACCAAGUAAAUAAGAAAAUCGCGAAAUUAGUUUGCCACGCGUUACACUAUAAGAAGUCAAACGCAAAAUAAAGUAUCCGUGAAAAUAAGUUGAUUUACAGUAUCUUCCGUCAGUUCAUUGUCUGAUCUCUGUCUAAUCAUAUUUCGGUUGAUUCGGGACGCUGUCAGGUCAGAUUCGGUCGUUUUCAACCAUGCGAAAGAUACAAAUCGGAUAAGAAUCGGAGAAAUCGUGAUCAUUGUGUCAAUUUCGGUUGGAAACGGCCAAAUUAGAACACUUCCUGGACAGUAUCUGAUUGUUGUCUUGAUUAGAUAAAUGUUUUUCAAAAAUCUGGCAAAAAAACAGCAAUGACAAAUCUCUCCAGAUUAUGCCCGUUCCACAGGACACCGUCCAGGAAACCCAGAAUAUUGUUACGAGUUUGAUCCGAUAUAGCAGAAUCUGCCACGACAUAAUCAGGAUUGUAAUCCGACUAGACAAAAUCGAAUGAGUUAUUCUGAAUGUCACGGGAUGCACCUAACUGUCGGGGUGCUUGAUCGACUUCUCCGAUCCGUAGGAAUCUGUUACGAACGUAUACUACGUAUACAGCGUUCAGGCGGUAAUAGGACAUUCCAGA
rnacentral:lncRNA from 1 species